GUGCCAGCAGCCGCGGUAAGACAGAGGGUGCAAACGUUGUUCGGAAUUACUGGGCGUAAAGCGCGUGUAGGCUGCUCGGAAAGUCGGAUGUGAAAGCCCUGGGCUUAACCUAGGAAGUGCAUUCGAAACUUCCGAGCUGGAGUUCUGGAGAGGAAGGCGGAAUUCUCGGUGUAGAGGUGAAAUUCGUAGAUAUCGAGAGGAACACCGGUGGCGAAGGCGGCCUUCUGGACAGUGACUGACGCUGAGACGCGAAAGCGUGGGGAGCAAACAGGAUUAGAUACCCCGGUAGUCC
rnacentral:rRNA from 1 species